UUUUUAGUAUAAGUAUGUUCCAUGCAAUAUUUGGCAAUAGUUAUACUAAAA
rnacentral:pre_miRNA from 1 species